UACGGGGGGGGCAAGCGUUGUUCGGAAUUACUGGGCGUAAAGGGCUCGUAGGUGGCCAACUAAGUCAGACGUGAAAUCCCCAGGCUCGACUUGGGAACUGCGUCUGGUACUGGAUGGCUUGAAUUCGGGAGAGGGAUGCAGAAUUCCAGGUGUAGCGGUGAAAUGCGUAGAUAUCUGGAGGAAUACCGGUGGCGAAGGCGGCAUCCUGGACCGGCAUUGACGCUGAGGAGCGAAAGCCAGGGGAGCAAACGGG
rnacentral:rRNA from 1 species